GCCCAAAGAGGUAUAAGCCAGGCAGAACUGGAUGGCGUACUUAUUGGGAUUCGCUGCCUACAUUCACUAUUGCUUCAUCCUGCUGUCCAGAACAUUUGGUCUGUGACUGAGUCCCGGUGAUUCUAACCUCAGAUCCAUCGCUUUUCUCCAUCUCCACUGUCACCGUCCUCAUCCAACAAGCCAUGUGGCUGCACCCAGUAGAGCUGUGCAUCCAGAAGGACACGAAACCUGUUUGAACUUCUGUAGUGGACACCAGACUUCCUCAAAGGCUGUCUUGUCUGUGGAUAAUUAACUAAGACAGUGUUUACCGGGGGUUCCUGAUGAUCGGGGGAAGGAGCUGAAGCUGGUUCAUGGGCCCCUGUGGGAUC